rnacentral:rRNA from 1 species
CGGCUCAGUAACACGUGGAUAACCUACCCUCAGAUCUGGGAUAACUCCGGGAAACUGGAGAUAAUACCGGAUAAUCCGUGAACGCUGGAAUGCCUUACGGUUGAAAGCUUUAGCGUCUGAGGAUGGGUCUGCGGCCGAUUAGGUAGUUGCUGGGGUAACGUCCCAACAAGCCGAUAAUCGGUACGGGUUGUGAGAGCAAGAGCCCGGAGAUGGAUUCUGAGACACGAAUCCAGGUCCUACGGGGCGCAGCAGGCGCGAAAACUUUACACUGCGCGAAAGCGCGAUAAGGGGACCUCGAGUGCGUGCGCAAAGCGUACGCUUUUCAGAUGCCUAAAAAGCAUCUGGAAUAAGGGCCGGGCAAGACCGGUGCCAGCCGCCGCGGUAACACCGGCGGCUCAAGUGGUGGCCGCUAUUUGGGCUUAAAGGGUCCGUAGCCGGACCAGUUAGUCCCUUGGGAAAUCUUACGGCUUAACCGUAAGGCUGCCAAUGGAUACUGCUGGUCUUGGGACCGGGAGAGGCAAGAGGUACCUCAGGGGUAGGAGUGAAAUCCUGUAAUCCUUGAGGGACCGCCAGUGGCGAAGGCGUCUUGCUAGAACGGGUCCGACGGUGAGGGACGAAAGCUAGGGGCACGAACCGGAUUAGAUACCCGGGUAGUCCUAGC